rnacentral:rRNA from 1 species
GGUUAUCCCGCAAGGGAUAACUGAGUGGCGAACGGGUGAGUAACGCGUGGGUGACCUACCUCUGAGUGGGGGAUAACGUCCCGAAAGGGACGCUAAUACCGCAUAACAUCCUGUCCUUGAACGGACGGUGAGCAAAGCCGGGGAUCGCAAGACCUGGCGCUUGGUGAGGGGCCCGCGUCCGAUUAGCUAGUUGGUGAGGUAACGGCCCACCAAGGCGACGAUCGGUAGCCGGCCUGAGAGGGCGGACGGCCACACUGGGACUGAGACACGGCCCAGACUCCUACGGGAGGCAGCAGUGGGGAAUUGUUCGCAAUGGGCGCAAGCCUGACGACGCAACGCCGCGUGGAGGAUGAAGGUCUUCGGAUUGUAAACUCCUGUUGCUCGGGAAGAACAGCUUCGACCUAAUACGUUGAAGUCUGACGGUACCGGGUGAGGGAGCCCCGGCUAACUCUGUGCCAGCAGCCGCGGUAAUUCCAGCUGAAGUAGCGUAUAUUAAAUUUGUUGCAGUUAAAAAGCUCGUAGAUGGAUUUCAGGCUGUGGGUUGGCUGCGGGCGCGGGUGGGGUUUCCCCAGUCGUGUUUCCGUGGUCCCCUGGCCUUUUGUGGGGUGGGUGGAGGUUAAACUCUGCCCGCUUUCCCACCAGUUACUUUGAGAAAAUUAGAGUGCUCCAGGCAGGCUUCACCGCCACUACAUACUCGAGCAUGGGAUAGCGUCCUCGGAACUUUUGGUUCUUUGGCCGGUUCUUAUCUUUAACCAAAAUUCAUGAUUGAUAGGGGUGGUCGGGGGUGCUCGAAUUCCGAGAGCAGAGGUGAAAUUCUUGGACCCUCGGAAGUCGGACGACAGCGAAAGCAUUCACCAAGGACACUUUCUUUAAUCAAGAGCGAAAGUAGGGGGAUCGAAGACGAUCAGAUACCGUCGUAGUCUCUGCUAUAAACGUUGUGCGUUGGAGGGCGGUGGGUGGGUUGGAGUGUGCGGGGAAACCCGUGCGCUCCUC